AGCUUGCUCCCUGAUGUUAGCGGCGGACGGGUGAGUAACACGUGGGUAACCUGCCUGUAAGACUGGGAUAACUCCGGGAAACCGGGGCUAAUACCGGAUGGUUGUCUGAACCGCAUGGUUCAGACAUAAAAGGUGGCUUCGGCUACCACUUACAGAUGGACCCGCGGCGCAUUAGCUAGUUGGUGAGGUAACGGCUCACCAAGGCGACGAUGCGUAGCCGACCUGAGAGGGUGAUCGGCCACACUGGGACUGAGACACGGCCCAGACUCCUACGGGAGGCAGCAGUAGGGAAUCUUCCGCAAUGGACGAAAGUCUGACGGAGCAACGCCGCGUGAGUGAUGAAGGUUUUCGGAUCGUAAAGCUCUGUUGUUAGGGAAGAACAAGUGCCGUUCAAAUAGGGCGGCACCUUGACGGUACCUAACCAGAAAGCCACGGCUAACUACGUGCCAGCAGCCGCGGUAAUACGUAGGUGGCAAGCGUUGUCCGGAAUUAUUGGGCGUAAAGGGCUCGCAGGCGGUUUCUUAAGUCUGAUGUGAAAGCCCCCGGCUCAACCGGGGAGGGUCAUUGGAAACUGGGGAACUUGAGUGCAGAAGAGGAGAGUGGAAUUCCACGUGUAGCGGUGAAAUGCGUAGAGAUGUGGAGGAACACCAGUGGCGAAGGCGACUCUCUGGUCUGUAACUGACGCUGAGGAGCGAAAGCGUGGGGAGCGAACAGGAUUAGAUACCCUGGUAGUCCACGCCGUAAACGAUGAGUGCUAAGUGUUAGGGGGUUUCCGCCCCUUAGUGCUGCAGCUAACGCAUUAAGCACUCCGCCUGGGGAGUACGGUCGCAAGACUGAAACUCAAAGGAAUUGACGGGGGCCCGCACAAGCGGUGGAGCAUGUGGUUUAAUUCGAAGCAACGCGAAGAACCUUACCAGGUCUUGACAUCCUCUGACAAUCCUAGAGAUAGGACGUCCCCUUCGGGGGCAGAGUGACAGGUGGUGCAUGGUUGUCGUCAGCUCGUGUCGUGAGAUGUUGGGUUAAGUCCCGCAACGAGCGCAACCCUUGAUCUUAGUUGCCAGCAUUCAGUUGGGCACUCUAAGGUGACUGCCGGUGACAAACCGGAGGAAGGUGGGGAUGACGUCAAAUCAUCAUGCCCCUUAUGACCUGGGCUACACACGUGCUACAAUGGACAGAACAAAGGGCAGCGAAACCGCGAGGUUAAGCCAAUCCCACAAAUCUGUUCUCAGUUCGGAUCGCAGUCUGCAACUCGACUG
rnacentral:rRNA from 1 species